CCUACGGGUGGCAGCAGUGGGGAAUAUUGCACAAUGGGGGAAACCCUGAUGCAGCGACGCCGCGUGAGUGAAGAAGUAUUUCGGUAUGUAAAGCUCUAUCAGCAGGGAAGAACAUGACGGUACCUGAUUAUGAACCCCCGGCUAACUACUUGCCAGCAGCCGCGGUAAUACGUAGGGGGCAAGCGUUCUCUGGAUUUACUGGGUGUAAGGGGAGCGUAGACGGCAGCACAAGUCUGGAGUGAAAUGCCGGGGCUUAACCCCGGAACUGCAUUGGAAACUGUGCAGCUAGAGUGCAGGAGAGGUAAGUGGAAUUCCUAGUGUAGCGGUGAAAUGCGUAGAGAUUAGGAGGAACACCAGUGGCGAAGGCGGCUUACUGGACUGUAACUGACGUUGAGGCUCGAAAGCGUGGGGAGCAAACAGGAUUAGAUACCCCUGUAGUC
rnacentral:rRNA from 1 species